ensembl:lncRNA
AGAUUGAGAGCAGGGUUUACUGAUUCCAUGACAGAUUGAGAGCAGGGUUUACUGAUUCCAUGACAGAGCAGGCCGACAGCAAUAACAACAUUGUUGAGAUUAGUAGUGACCAGGGCUCGUAGGAGUGCUGAUCUAGCAUCCGUUUUUGACUUUUAGAUCAUAAUGGUUAUAUGGACAGAUCCUAGAUCAAUACUCCUACUCUGAGGUCCUUUCUGGAUACAGACUGUGAUCUUAGCCAAACUGUGUUGGGUUGACAGUCGCUGGAUCGGGGUUCUAGUAGGAUCCCUAUGUUUGUUUACGUAAACUAUUCAUUGAUCAUUUAAAUUUGGUGAUCUAGUCAUUAGCUCUUGUUGCUGUUAUUUGUAAGGAUUUUACAGGGUAGGAUGAAGGUCUUUCAUUGGCCUGGACAUAACUACUGUCACGCAAUAUCUGAAUACUUGGUCAGAUGAAAUCAGGGAACGAGAUUUCUGGAUGAAUUUCUAUUUUAAUCCCUUCAUGACUAACAGGUUCAGACCCAUAUCAGGACUGACUUCACAGGAGUACUGUAGGUUAGCACUGUUGAUGAAUAUGAGGGUUUCAUCUCUCUUUAAAAAUAAUCAGUAUAUUCUCUGUUUCUUGUCUCUCUUUAUUGGGCUUUUAUUCAUUUCCAAAUGAUUCAUAAUUAAAGUUGGAUAAAUGAAUCAAGAAACAAGACCAAGACUUAAGCCCUUCUAUCUAUACAUGUUCAAAUUGUUUUAUCCUCCAAAUGUCUUUAUAUAAGUAGAUCCAUAGCCUACACAUGGUGUCUCCCAGUGAAUCAGGGGCUCCACCAGUUCCUAACCAGUCCUGUUGUAAACCAUAUCACCGCCCCUGUCAACCCUCCCAUGACAACACCUCCAAAACCACCUGUCAGAACCCCCAUCAACAACCCUGUCACUAUGGCGACGAAGAGCUCCAAUACGAUUCUCUGCCUGUCCUCCUUCCUCCACUGGUAUCUGUAGCGCUCCCUCUCCUCCACCUCAUUGGUCUGCACUGCCAAGAGAAAGACACACCCUUCUUUACUCACAGGGGGAAACAGUCACCAAGGUGAAAUAGAUCUAUGUUCUUUGAGGGAAGUGUAUGAAAAAUAACCUCCUAAAUAUUAUAUUGUUCUGUAUUUUACUGCAUUUUAAUUAUUGUGAAUAAGUAUAAUUAAGUAAAUGGCCCAGAUGAUUUAUUCAACAUAUUUCACACAUCACUGCUAGGUGGAGAGCUUUCACUAAAACACUGAUAAGGAGAUAUUUCUAUUAAUGGAGAAAGAUGAAGUAGCCUAGACACUGAUCGGAGGUCAGCUUUAGUGUUUUCGUUCUAUAAAGGGGUCCUGACAGGAUUGGAUAGGUUGGAGAAAGAUGAAGUAGCCCCCAUACACUGAUCUGAGGUCAGUUUUGUGUUUUGGGCCUGUAAGUAGGCCCUGACAGGAUUGGAUAGGUUGGUGAAAGAUGAAGUAGCCCCCAUACACUGAUCUGAGGUCAGUUUUGUGUUUUGGGCCUAUAAGUUGGCCCUGACAGGAUUGGAUAGGUUGGAGAAAGAUGAAGACGCCCCUAGACACUGGUCUGAGGUCAGUUUUGUGUUUCAGUCUUAUAAAGGCAUUGACAGGAUUGGAUAAGUGCAAUCAAGGUGUAGAAAUAUUCACAGAGCCUUUCAAAGAGUAAGGUGGAACUACAGUGUAGCUUUAAUACAGGUCCUAAUGGCUGUCCUAGGAUCAGAUUACCUGACUAAAUACUAACCAAACCCUUAAAGAGUAAUGUGGAACUACAGUGUAGCUUUAAUACAGGUCCUAAUGGAUAUCCUAGGAUCAGAUUACCCAACACAGUAGAGGGUUUUUUCUGGAGUUUUAAUUAUUUUCCUCUCAAGUAGUGAAAUUAACUCAUUCUAAUUAUUACCAGCAGCCGCUAGAGUGGGAGCAAAAAUACUGAUUCUAUUCUAAAUUCUAUUGGAGUAAAACAGCAUGACCAC